rnacentral:lncRNA from 1 species
GGGCGGACAAAAGAGAGACAAUUAAACCAACACGGAAACAAGAUAUUUCGAUUGUCAUAAAUGCUACAAGGGAAGAAAACCGAGAGUGCUGAGAGACUGAGCACUUCCGGACAGCCUCUCCAGGAGUCCAGCUGGAGCCAAGACCCAGAGAAUGAAGAGCAAGAGAGAGUGUUUCAGACAGAGGUCCGAGGGUCAGAGGCUUGAGGUGGAGAAGACACAGCCUUGAGGAUCCCACAGAAGCCAAUGUGGAGACCAGGGCCAGAUCGUUAGGGGAUCGAAGGCCACAGUAUGGAAUUCAAAUUUCAUUUUAUUUGCAGUGAGAAGCCAGGAAGGGAUGAGAUUAGGGGAGGAGUCAGCGAUUGGGGCAGGCUCUUAACAGUAACAAAUUUGGAAGUGGAUAUCUUCUAGAACUAUCAUUUACUGUGUUAUUUAAACAAAUAUUAUUUACUGUUUUUCCUGUUACGACCUUCUCCUUUAUUUUCAGUCUUGAUCUUUUGUAGGAAAGUAAUCCCAGGUUAUCGAGAGAUUUUUCUAUGGCCUUUCUUGAAGUAACCUGGCAAAUAAAUCCAGUUCUUUUCAUUAUUUUACUGCUUGGUAGCAGCUUUGCAGUGCUGUUUAGCUAAGGUGGAAAAGAAAUGGAGUAUCUGAGUAAUAUUUCUUUUUUCUUCCUCUUGGCUGGGAAAUAAACUCAGGCUUUAAUGUGAUGAAAGUGGAGUUUGUGCUGAAACUCAGUGGGACCAUCACCAGCUUGGGGGGCAUUUCAUCUCCUUUAUAAAGUGCUUGCCCCGAUGCUGCUGUGGGGGGCACCGAGGAUUAGACCUUGAUGGCAGAACUUUCCCUUGCUCUGAGGCUCAUCCCCUACUCCAGCUUUGAAGGAAUCAAUGAGAGGGAAUAAAUCACCAAUGGAUGUAGUCUAUUUUAUUUAGCUUAUCAAAAGCCUUGGCGAGGCUCCACAACAACUAGUAAUAAAAAUAUUCCGUUACUGUAGAUGGGAUUAAGUGUAAUGUUUUGGUAUGGAUCAGAAACUGACUUAGAAACAGGAAGCAAAGGGUACAGGCAAACUCUGGACAGAAACACACCAACAACAGAAUCCUCCAUUACCUGUACUCAGCAGUGGCCUUUUAAAAAUUGCUUUUGUAAACCAUACAAAGUAUGCGGAUCUUCGGGUUUACAAAAGGCGGUGUUAAGAACUCUAGAGUCUGACAGAUCUGUCCUUGGGCAAGUCAUUUAACCAAUAAACCUCAUGUUUCUGGUCUGUAAAAUGGAAAUGACUGUACCUUUUCAUUAGGGUGAUGAGGAUGAAUGAGAUAACACAUUUUCUCUUAGUGCCUAGGGUUCCUCUGCUAUAGCUAUUAGUCUUAUUUCUGAAAGUAAAUACCAAGCCAAUAGGGACAAAGUAGAGAAAAUCUCAAUGAAGCUGUACAUUAAGCCAGGAGAAUAUAUGGAACAUGUGUUCCCAAACAUACUUACCAUCCUCACUCAACUCUGGGCUUCUUCCUGCAAAAACAUGUAUCUCAUCUGCUGCUGUCACCUUCCCCCGUGGGCUGAGCUGGAAAGUCAGGACCCAUCCUCAGGGGCUCAGCUCCCUUCCCACCCCCACUGCAUCCCACCCACUCCUCUAAUCCUGUCUCUAAAUACUGGUCACUUUUUCUCCCUGCCUUCCAGCUCUUGCUUUAGACUGGAGGUCAGCAAACUCUUUCUGGAAAGUGUCAGGUAAUUAUUUCUUGCUUUGCCAACCUCACACUCUCUGUUGUAACUACAGUAGUUCCCCUCUUCUCCAUGGUUUUGCUUUCUGCGAUUAACUGGCCUCAAUCCAAAAAUAGGUGAGUAUAGUACGAUAAAAUAUUUUAUCACAGUAUAUUGCUAUAAUUCUUCUAUUUUAUUAUUGUUGUUGUUCAUCUCGUACUAUUGUUUUUGUGCCUAAUUUAUAAGUUAAACUUUAUCAUAGGUACAUACGUAUAGGAAAAAACAUAGUAUAUAUCUAGCCUCAAUUUCAGGCAUCCACUGGGGGUCUUGGAACAUAUCUCCCUUGGAUAAGGGGGGAGACUACUCGAUGCAACCCUGCGAUUCUAGUACAAAAGCAGCCAUAGACAAUUACAGUAUAUAAAAGAACGGGUGUGGUUGUGUGUUCCAAUAAAACUUUAUUACAAAAGCAGGUAGCAGGCAGGGUUUCACCUUCCAGGGUGUAGUUUUCUGGCACCUGAUUUAGAUUCCUCGGAUCUUUCUCUGGGAUUAAGACCCUUAGGGCUCCCUGUAGGCCUGAUUUAAUUUUGUCACUCCCACUUUAAAAGCCUUUCAAUGGCUUCCCAUUAUUGUUGCAAAAUGUGGCCUUGGAUCAUAUCGUUAGCCAUUAGAAUCACUUGAGCUGCUUUAUAUAUGUAUUUAUUUUUUAUUUUGAGACAGGGUCUCACUCUGUCUCUGAGGCUGGAGUACAGAGGUGUGAUCAUGGCUCACUGCAGUCUUGAACUCCUGGCCUGAAACUGAUCCUCCCGCCUCAGCCUCCCAAGUUGCGAGGACUACAGGCACACACUACCACGCCCCGCUAAUUUUUUUGUAGAGACAGGAUCUCACUGUGUUGCCCAGGCUGGCCUUGAGCUCCUGGCUUCAAGUGAUUUUUCUGCCUCAGCCUCCGAAAGUGCCAGGAUUAUAAGUGGAACCACCGUGCCUGGCUCUGAGCUGCUUGUUAAAAUGCAGAGUUCCAGGCUCCUCUUCAGAGCCACUAAAACAGCAUCUCUAAGGGGCAGGCAGUGGAGUUGGAUUUAAACAAGUCUCCUCGAGAGAAUUGCAGUUCAGUGGUUCUCAAAAAGUGGGGUCCAUGGGCCCCUGAGGGUCCCCCAAAUGCUUUUGGGGGGUUUGUGAUGCAGGAAGGAAUAAUGCAGUAUGUUGGGGUGGGAGGAGAGCCUCACAGGGAGGUGAUGGCCGAACAAAGGCCUGAAGGGGGUUAGGAAGCCAUCCUGAGCCGUCCCUGGGAGAGUGUUCCAGCAGGAACAGCAAGUUUAAAGCCUCUGAGGCUGCUGUGUCUGGCAGAAGGCCACUGUGGCUGGCUUGCUGGAGGGAAGAAGGGGAAAAAGAGAGCAGUGAGAGAGGAGGAGAUGAGGCCUGAGAGGAAAAGAGCCAGGCAGGUGGAGCAGGGCCUUGGAGGCCAUUGAAGCAGGGCCUUGGAGGCCAUCUCAGUAAAAGGCCAUUGGCUUUUACUCAGAACAAGAUGGGAGCCACUGGAGAGUUUUGAGUAUGCAAGCUAUUCCAAGAAUGUAACCACCUCUUCCUCCUUCUUCACACACUUCUUUCCUUCCUCAUUGAGUAUUUAUCUUCCCCUUCCUGUUGGCUGUUAAGUUCCUUGAGGACCCAGGCUCUGUCUUACCCAUCUUUAUCCCAGUAUCUAGCAAUGCCCAGGGCCACACAACCAACACUGACAAAUACAAGAAUGCCGCUGUGUUCCUCUGGCAUGAUUCUCAUUGGAGCUGGUAAGAACUGCUUGAGAAAAAUGCAGACUUCCUCAAAUAAAUAUUUUACACAUUUCUUUUUCUUUUUUUUAGACGGUGUCUCACUCUGUCACCCAGGCUGGAGUGCAGUGGCGCGAUCUCCACCCACCACAAACUCCGCCUCCCAGGCAGCCACAGAAUAGAGCUGAUUGUCUUGGCAAACAAGUGACUGGGAAGGAAGGACUUUUGAGGAAACUCAGGGCAGAAACCAUUGAUUAGGACAAGUAUUGUUCUAAUCAGAACUAGAUGUCCUGCAGAGAAGUGAGAAGCCAGGAGAGCGUGGAUGAAUCCCCUGCCCUCUCUCCCGCAUCAUUCCUACAAGCCACAUCCCAGGUGAACACAUGACAAGAGAAACCCCAGGUGUGUCUGAGGAACCUGACAGAGAUGAGAGCUGAGCCCCAGCCUCUGCUUAAGCCCAGGAGGAGGUGGAAUCAAGGCCCCAGAGCAGACAUGGCUGUGCAGGCCUCACCUGGGAGCCAUAGGAUGUUCUCUGUGAGCCCGAGGGUGGCAUAAAUGGUGGACAGCCUGCUCUGUGGGCCCAGCUGCAGAACAUCCCUCGGGCUGGCUGUGGCACCCUAAGAGCACAGGGAACUGACAGUCACUUGGAGGCCUUGAGGUUGAGAAAGUGGGUGGAUACAGCUGUGACCAGCCAUAGAAGCCGGGAAUGUUUCAGCAAGUCCUUCACAGAGGUUAGAUCACACCUAGGACCAGGCCUCCAUCUCCAGCUCCCCUCCCCAGCUAUAGAGCAAUGGAAGCCUCUCCAGCUCUUAGAUCCAACCUGGGGAGAUGGAAGGAAAACUCUAGAUUGACUGCAAGUAAGUUUCUCCUACACCCAGGGAGCCUUGCUGGAAACUCAGAACAGCUAUAAGAAAAUACAUUUAUUUUCUUUCAUAACAGGGUAUAUGGGAAAAGAAUCAUGCUCACUACUAAUGAAUGAACAAAUGAGCUGCGGGAAGACUGUGUAUGACAGAUGCUCACCUUUCCUUUCAUCCCUUUUCACCUUAUUCUGAUAAGCCACAAAUGCAGAACUGAAUUCAGAGGAUCUACUGGAUGACACUUGUUUCGUUAUUGGUGACAAUGGACCCAGCACUGCCAAACUCUGUACAGAGAUGCGUGGAUUGGUCUCUGUCCUCAAAAACCUGCAGCCAACCUGAGUGGACAGGACUAACAUGCUGAAACAAGUAGAGGAUGACAGAGAUGCUACAGACUUGACUACUGCACUGCAUAGGUCAGCAGUUGUAUUAGUCUGUUCUCACACUGCUAAUAAAGACAUACUUGAGACUGGGAAAUUUAUAAAGGAAAGAGGUUUAAUGGACUCACAGUUCUACAUGGCUGGGGAGACCUCACAAUCAUGGCGGAAGGCGAAUGAGGAACAAAGUCAUGUCUUACAGGAUGGCAGGUAUCAACCAUACAGAUGAAGAGCUGAGGCUCAGGGAAGGAAUUUGCCAAGGUCACGAAGCUGUAAGACACAGAACCUGGGGUGUCUGCCUGUAGAGCUCACACUGACUCUACAGCCACUGAUCCAAAGCUUCAAUGAGCAAGAGAUGAAGUGACCCCUCCAACCCCACAGCUCAGCGUCUUUCUUGAAGCUCCAACUCCAGGGCCAUUGUUUUCCUGUUCUCCCCGCUCCAAGGCCUCUCCUCUCUCCUUGGCCCAACUCUCUGACAGUGAUGCAGUUCUGAAGGCCAGACGUCCAAAAUCAGAAUGGCAUUUGCUUGAAGGAUCCAGGGGAGAAUCCCUCCUUGCUUCUUCCAGCUUCUGGUGGCUCAUGGCAAUACCUUGACUUGUAGACAUAUCCCUCCAAUCUCUACUUAUGCCUUCAUAUCACCUUCUCUUCUCUUAUGAGAACAGUUGUCAUUGGAUUUAGGACCCACCCUAAUCGAAGAUGAUCUCACAUGUAGUUUAAUUACAUCUAUAAAAUAUGCUUUUCAGUAAGGUCACUUCCGUGGUUUGAAUGCCCCCUCCAAAACUUAAUGUUGAAACUUAAUCCCCAACGUGGCAGUACUGAGAGGUGGGGCCUUUUAGAGCUGGUUGGAUUGUGAAGGUUCUGUCCUCAUGAAUGGAUUAGUUCCAUUCAUGAAUUAAUAAAUUAAUAGGCUCAUGGAUUAGUGGGUUACCAUGGGAGGGGAACUGGUGGCUUUAUAAGAGGAGGAAGAGAGACCUGGGCUAGUACAUUAAGAUUCUCAGCCCCCUUACCAUGUGGCGACCUGUGCCACCUGGGGACACUGCAGAGUCCCCACCAGCAAGAAGGCUCUCACCAGACUUAGCCCCUCAACAUUGGACUUAGCCUCCAUAACUGUAAGAAAUAAACUCCUUUUCUUCAUAAAUUACCGAGUUUCAGCUAUUCUGUUAUAAAUGACAGAAAACGACUAAGACAGUCACAUUCACAGGUUCUGGGCAGGACGUGUCUUUUGGGGGCCAUUCACCCCCAGGCUUCGUGGUGAAUGACUGACUAGAAGCAGUGCCCUCCAAGUUGGUCCUUCUGAACCCAUCAAUGACAGUGGACAGAAAAGUUGGCCACUGAUUGAACUUCAGAUCUGUCUCGAACAGGGAGCCACUGAUACCUGUGUAGGAACCAGCUCCAUCACCCGGCAUCCCAGCCAGACCCACCACUGCAAAUGUUCCUACAUUUUGCUAUUGCAUAGAAUUUCCCUUUGGGGAUUAUAAAUAUACCUUCUUGCUUAGGUUUUUACUAGAAAAAAGAGAGAGAAGCAAAACAGCAAAGCAAAGCUCAAACCCCACCAGGCUGUGUCACAAAUCUGUGUAUAAUGUUCUCCUGUUGCUCAAGGAAACACCCCCACAAAGGAGUUUUGUUGAAUGCUUUGAACUGUCCCUCAGUGUAGAGGACAUAUUAUGGGGUUGGAACAUCCAACAAUUUCUUUUUGGAAAAUAAACUGGGUCCUGGUCCGGAACAUACCCU